rnacentral:hammerhead_ribozyme from 15 species
AAUUGGUCAGGAGCUGAUGCCACUCUCCUGAUGAGGCUAUGAUACGCUGAAACCAAUU